rnacentral:rRNA from 1 species
UACGUAGGGGGCGAGCGUUGUCCGGAAUUAUUGGGCGUAAAGGGCUCGUAGGCGGUCUGUUGCGUCGGGAGUGAAAUCUUACAGCUUAACUGUGAACUUGCUUUCGAUACGGGCAGACUUGAGGUAUGCAGGGGAGAAUGGAAUUCCAGGUGUAGCGGUGAAAUGCGUAGAGAUCCGGAAGAACACCGGUGGCGAAGGCGGCCUGCUGGGCAGUAGCUGACGCUGAUGGCGCGACAGCGUGGGGAGCAAACAGG